rnacentral:rRNA from 1 species
UCGAGAAUUUUUCUCAAUGGGGGCAACCCUGAAGGAGCGACGCCGCGUGGAGGAUGAAGGCUUUCGGGUUGUAAACUCCUGUCAUUUGGGAACAAGUGGCCGAACUUAACUGCUUCGGCCUUGAUAGUACCAGAAGAGGAAGGGACGGCUAACUCUGUGCCAGCAGCCGCGGUAAUACAGAGGUCCCAAGCGUUGUUCGGAUUCAUUGGGCGUAAAGGGUGCGUAGGUGGCGCCGUAAGUCGGGUGUGAAAUUUCGGAGCUUAACUCCGAAACUGCAUUCGAUACUGCGGUGCUUGAGGACUGGAGAGGAGACUGGAAUUCAUGGUGUAGCAGUGAAAUGCGUAGAGAUCAUGAGGAAGACCAGUGGCGAAGGCGGGUCUCUGGACAGUUCCUGACACUGAGGCACGAAGGCCAGGGGAGCAAACGGGAUUAGAUACCCCCGUAGUCC